rnacentral:lncRNA from 1 species
CCGAUUAGAUGGCAGGUCAUGGAUAAAUCAUCAAACCUCAACAUCGAUCAUAUAAUAGUUCAAUCAGUUUAAGUCUAUAUGAGAUUCUAUGAGAAUUUUUUUCUAUCAAUCACACUGCUAUGGCCAUAGACUUAAGGACACAGUCUCUUAAAUCUCAUAGGACUACUUCCUUCUGCUAGAUUGAUAGAUCCCAUCUUAAUGCACAUCCC